UAGGGAAUCUUCCACAAUGGACGCAAGUCUGAUGGAGCAACGCCGCGUGAGUGAAGAAGGCUUUCGGGUCGUAAAACUCUGUUAUUGAAGAAGAACGUGUGUGACAGUAACUGGUCAUGCAGUGACGGUAUUCAAUCAGAAAGUCACGGCUAACUACGUGCCAGCAGCCGCGGUAAUACGUGGGUGGCAAGCGUUGUCCGGAUUUAUUGGGCGUAAAGCGAGUGCAGGCGGUCUUUUAAGUCUGAUGUGAAAGCCUUCGGCUUAACCGAAGAAGGGCAUCGGAAACUGGGAGACUUGAGUGCAGAAGAGGAGAG
rnacentral:rRNA from 1 species